rnacentral:rRNA from 1 species
AUAGCGUAUAUUAAAGUUGUUGAGGUUAAAAAGCUCGUAGUUGAACCUUGGGCCUAGCCGGCCGGUCCGCCUCACCGCGUGCACUGGCUCGGUUGGGCCUUUCCUUCUGGAGAACCGCAUGCCCUUCACUGGGUGUGUCGGGGAACCAGGACUUUUACUCUGAACAAAUUAGAUCGCUUAAAGAAGGCCUAUGCUCGAAUACAUUAGCAUGGAAUAAUAGAAUAGGACGUGUGGUUCUAUUUUGUUGGUUUCUAGGACCGCCGUAAUGAUUAAUAGGGACAGUCGGGGGCAUCAGUAUUCAAUUGUCAGAGGUGAAAUUCUUGGAUUUAUUGAAGACUAACUACUGCGAAAGCAUUUGCCAAGGAUGUUUUCAUUAAUCAGGAACGAAAGUUAGGGGAUCGAAGACGAUCAGAUACC